UUCUUCUUUCUUUCUUUUCUUCUCAUGUUUUUCCUUCUCUGUCGAAUUCGAGAGAUUAAACGGUAGUUUUGUGAUCGAUAGGAGGUGUAGAAGAUUAUGCAGUAGUUUGCGGUGAUGCUGAUGGUGUCUGUUGCUGAAUCAGACUCGAAGGAGGAAGUGAAAUUAAGAAUUGGGUUUUCUUAAUAAGUUCUGUGAAGAUGUAGAUGGUGAAAUUGAGUAAUUAGGGAGAAGAUUAGAGAUGGGUUGUGUUGACAUGAAGAUUUAGAUUGUGUUUUAGUGUUCGAAUCAUAGAAGAAGAGAUUUGGAAUAUUAUGGUUCUUGAAUUAGUUGAGGGUUUGUGUGAAAUUAAGGAUGGAUGUAAGCAAUUGAAGAUGGGUUUGUUUAGAUUGAAGUAGAAUCAAGUAUAUGGAGUUGUAAUUUCAGUUUUAUUGUGAAAUUGAGAAUUAUGAAUUAGGGUUUGAUCUUGUUCUUCCCCAAAUCAGAAAUUAGGGUUAGAGGAAAUAUAUAAAAAGAAUUAGAAGAUGGAAUUGAUGUAAAGGGGAUUGAGUUAAUGAAGGGUUUGUUCUUAAUUGAAGUAUUAUUGGAUGAAUCGGGGUUAAUAGGAUGUUUUGGGGUCGUGUUGGUGGUAAAUCGAAGAAAUAAGUCUUUCGUGGAAUUGAUUCGGCGUAUUAGCAAACUCAGAGGAUGCUAACUGUUUGGUAAGUCUCCGAUUUGUCUUAAUUAUAGUAGCAUGAGUUGGAUUGUUUUGAUUUCAUAGUUUGUACAAUUAUGGUUUGAACUGAGGUUGAUGUGAGUAUGCAUUUGGAAGUGAACUGAAGUUGCUAUGGGUUAUAGGAAAGAACGAUGAUGAUGUUGGAGUUGUAGUUAAUGGAAUUGCUAUGGGCUGUUGUUACAGCUGAAGGCUGAGUUUGGCUUGGAUUGUUAUGGUUGAUUAUUAGAGUUGAUAUGAGUUUGGUUGAACAUGGAUGAGUGUGAAGUUGGACUUGUUCAGCUAAUGGUGGUGGUGAAGUUAUAGACAGUUGAUCUGAAAUAGGUUCAAGUUGGAUCUGGAGAGGAAAUGAAUGGAACUGUCAGUGGCAGGGAAGAGUUGAGCUGUAGUGAAGUCAUAAUGGUUAUGAUUGAUCCAGUUGAAUGUGAUGCUCGGUGAUUGAAUGUUGAAGUGAUAAUGGUGUUGAUGUUGGGAUUCAAGUGAAUGUGCAAAGAGUAGAGAAUGGAUGUGUUGGUUGAGUUGGGGGUAUUAGCUGUAUCAGCUAGUACUAAUGGAAUUGAUUGGCAGAUCAAUCAAGGUUUAAGAUGAAUGGAAUGAAAUGGAUUGGAGAUUGAUGUUGCUUAGAGAUGGUAAUGCUGAAAUCAGGUUAUAUGAAGUUGAGUUGGUAGUUGUAGAAAGAGAGAAAGCUUGGAACGGCAUUUGCAGUUAGACUCUAUUAACAACGAUCGAUUCAAAGGACGAACCAGUGGAUCGUGGAUCUCGAGGUAAAUGAAUAGAAUUUGCGAAAAGGAAGAAAAGCGCCAAAAUGACUUUGCAUCAGUGCACACGGCGAAAGCUCAUGUGAUUGGAGACCAAGGACAGUGGCGGCAUCAAGGAUGGCAGGUGCUGGACCAGUUUAACAAUGUGUCAUGGGCUUAACAUACAGCUCAGGUACAAUUUUUGGAGGAAAAAAAGGGCUCUGAUUCAUUUUUUUAGUGGACUUUACCACAAGGGUGUUGCACGUGUGUGCAAUGGUGGAGAGAAACUUCAGAAGGGACACCACUUUCUUAAACUUAGCCGUGCUCAAGUUCACAUUACAAAGUUCAGUUUCCGUCCUCAUUAUGACCAGUUCUUACUGCCAAGAUUUAACGCCAGCAGAGUAUGGACCCAAGAGUUAUUUGUGAAUGGUUAGGACUCGAUUUUGAAGGCAACAGAGAAAUUAGGCUUGGGUACCAAUCUAUAUCAGCUGAAGUAAAGAGAUGAAGACCUUGUUAUGCUGCCAUGUCUCCAGAUCAGGUGUCUUUGCCAAGUCUUGCCGUGGCUGAAUUAUGAAAUGAAAUCGAAGUUUGUGAAGGGUUUGGAAAUCGUAAUGUGAGAAGACACAAGUGGUACGAAUUCAGAUUAGAAGAUGGGUUUGCUUUGGCUUGGAAUGUGGACAGAGUUCUGAACGAGAAAGCAGUGAUGAAGCUGCCAUUACUGCCAUUGAAUUUUGAUGAUAAAUGUGUGGUUUCGUGUUUAUGGAUGAUUAAGAAUGUGUGGGUUUGCUCUUGAAUGUGACUUGUUACAGGGAAGGAGCUGUGAGAGGUUACAGAUUCAGCAGAGUUCUAACGAUCAUCAGCUUGCAGGACGCCUAUACACUGUUCGUAGAAAUGCUUGAAUGGCCAGUUCUGCAGCGGUUCCCAUUGUUCACUGAACCAAGUCUCUGCCACUGGUUAACCAUCGUCUGUGUAGCCUUUUGCGAAUGGUCAGGGGAUUAAUUGAAGUUGAGAUAAACAUGGAAACACUGGUCGAAUAUUUGAAGAUUGGGUUUGUAAAACUUGGCUGAAAACCAGAGAAGAAAACUAUAAAAGACGACCUACAGAGAGCAUCAUCACAUACCCCUUGCAACUGCACACAUCUCCAUCAGAGAGGAGCUCUCUGCUCCUCUCCAAACCCUAUCACUUCAGUUCGCAGCAUACAUCAUCUCCCCUGCAUAUAUCUACCAGUUUGCAUACCAUUUCAUUACCACCUGCAUCUCCACCAGCAUAUCUUCAUUAGCAUCUCAUACAUCCACCUUCAUACCAUCUACACCAUCACCACUAUUCCAUAUUUGCACACUGCAUACAUCCUACCACCAACAGCAGCUGCAGUUCAUACCACCAGUCCAUUCACACCAGCACUCCACAACACCAUCGAGAUCAGUCAACAAGCCAGAGCAGCAAUACAACCAUCACAAGAGCACUGCACAGGCCUGAGUUCGAUACCAUCAUUACCACCAUCAUCGCCAUCACCAGUUCGCCAAUCACCUUCACCUGUCAGCAGAAGCAGAAACACCUGGAGCUGCCGAGCACCGAACCAGUAGCAAUCUUUCCACUUCGCAGCCACCAUUCCAUCACCAGGCCACAGUUCCAUUAUCACCAGCAGCGAGCUUCCUUGGUUCACUGCGAUACAACCACCUGUUCGCAUAACUCCACCACUCCCCUUGCUGCUGUUACUUUUGGUUUGCUUGUUUAGUUUCAUAUAUUUUGCUGUUUCUGUGCCAUGAACUCCAGUAGCUAAUUGCAUCCUGAUUAGGGACGAUUUUGAUGUCCGAAACAUGAACUUGAAUUGAUAUUUAAACUGCUUUGUUUUCUCGCAAUUAUUUGGUUAUUGCUCAUUUUUUACCAUGCCAAUAUUGUUAUAUGAAUUAUUCUUGAAUCGUUUAUGUAGCAAAUUGAAUGGUUUAUGGAUGAUUCUAAUGCUAGUUGAGACCUCUUCGACCCGUAAUAGUCUAGAGAGUCUUAAUACAAGUAGUAGUAUGUGGUUAUUGAUGAUGGGAUUUUGUUAAAUAUCCAUGUGUAUUGAAUGACAAUAGUAGAUGAAUCGAGCUUAUGUGUUUGUCACUAGGAAUAGCCUAUCUCAUAGAACUUAAUGCAUUUGUUUAAGUCACACCUAGAGAGCGUACUUCUAAGAAACUUGGCAAGUAGAAUCCGGUAGUCGAGCUUCCGUGACCGGUGAAUUAAGAGAUUGCGGGAUAUUUGAGCGUACUAAAUUUUCUAGGGUUGUUAGUAAUGAGUACUUUGCAGAAACAUAGCUAUAUUGAAAAGAUUCUUGUUUCGUGGCUUAGAAAGAGUCCUUGAUCAUUUUCAUCCUCAUAUUUGCAUUAUUCUUAUUCAGAAAUUGAAUUGGCAACCUAAACUCAACUCUCCCUUAGGAACG